UUGUACCGCUCCGCGCCGCCGUUCGGCAGACGCGCCGCCAUAUUGGUUCGACGUUGCUGCCCGCUGCUCGUGUCUCCCGUGCGGUCGACGAGUUGGUGAGGCGGCAUUUUCGUGCUCUCGUGAGCAACCGACAUUGAAAACAUUUUCGCACACGCUCUUGCAGUGUAACAGUAUUCUUAUCGUUCACCCGUGGGUGGGUGAACAAGAUAAGAGAAUGACGGGUUGCUGCGUUCCGCUGUGCACCGGCUCAUGGAAAAAAGGACUGCGGACUUUUCGGUUUCCCCGAGACCCUGAGAGAAGAAAGAAGUGGGAGGCUCAAGUGAAGCGGGAGAAGUGGCAAGCGACUGACACAUCUAAGAUAUGCGAGCGUCACUUUGAGCCUGACCAGUACGAAAAUGCCAGACAAGACGGGCGGCGGCUGCUGAAGUCUACUGCAGUUCCGACUCUCUUUGAUUUUAGCCCGCAACCGAAAUGCAGGAAACCUCCUGUGAGGCGAAGAAGUUUAGCUGAUUCUGCAACUUCAGCUACCGAAUCAUUUCAGUCGACAGAUAUUGCCUCACCCGGACCUUCAUCUCCCAACAAUCAGGAGCUAGACACAGGUGAACUCUGCAAGAAGAGAAACAGGAGGAGCACUGUGACAUCCUGGAUGUUGACUCACUGUCAACAAGCGAAAUGCGGAAAGCUCUCCGGGACAUGCAGAAGAAAAACUCUCAGCUUAAGGAAAGUCUGUCUGUCGCUAAAAAGAAGAUGAGGACUGCUACGAGGCAAGCAGCCAAGCUGGAAACAAAGGUCACAAUGUUGACUGCCAACUUGAACUAUCUGAACGAAGACCAGAAGACAGCUCUAGAAAGGCAGGAUAGAACAUGUCGCACGUGGAGUGCCGACACAGUAAAAAAGGCACUGCAACUCAAGUUCGCCUGUGGAAGUACAGGUUAUGACCUCCUCAUAGAGCAAGGCUACCCCCUGCCAUCACGGCGCACACUAUGUAGAAGAUUGCAGCAUCUGUCUUUCAAGCCUGGCGUGCUGCAUGAAAUAUUGUCUGCAAUGCAAACAAAAAUAUCUUCAAUGAAAGAUAUUGAAAAAGAUUGCAUACUAUUUCUUGAUGAGAUGGAAAUCCGGAGUGGGAUAGAACUUGACCGUGGCAACGAUACUCUGCUUGGAAUGAUAACAUUGCCUUCAUCUGACCAGCCAGCAAAGCAUGCGCUUGUCUUUAUGGUGGGUGGCACAAAUACCCGUUGGAAACAAGUAAUUGCUUUUCAUUACACAGGUGCUUACGUCAGUGGAGAUGUGCUCAAGGACUUCGUAUUCCACCUUAUCAAGCUCUGCACAGACAUUGGCCUUCGUGUGCGGUGUGUCACUUCUGACAUGGGAAGCUCCAACCGCGCGAUGUGGAGGUCACUGAACUUAAACAGCUCUCGCAACGGUGUUACAGUGUCCAGUGUGCCGCAUCCCUUCAUAAGCAACGAGACACUACAUUUUAUGCCAGACCCUGCCCAUGUGCUGAAGAACGUGAGGGGACAUUUUGUUCGGAAAGAUCCGAUGCACCUGAGUAGCGAGAUAGUUUCACGGUUCAACUUACCGACAACUGAAAUAACAGUCGAACACGUUGAGGCUCUUUUGAACUUAGAUAGCGAUCAGCUACAAGUUGCACCUAAUUUAACCCAUGUGCAUGUGUCCACUGGGCACUUUACAAAAAUGAAAGUAGGAAUAGCUGUACAAUUAUUUAGAGAGUCGCCUGCAGCUAUUCGGUAUUAUGUCGAGCAGCGGCUACUACCACCUGAAGCUGAGACAACUGCGUGGUUCCUUGAACUGAUCUCAAAGUGGUACUCCCUGAUGACAGCUCGCCACCCAGUUGUGGCUCUUAGCUUCAUGAAUGAAGAGAAAUACAGGGAAGCAAUUUCAGUGCUAAACCUCACUGUUGAGGUCAUUAAUAGCCUAAGCAUUGGUGUGAAGAAGGUAUGGAAGCCAUGCCAGGCAGGUGUUGUUAUGUCGACGAAUGUUAUUUUGCAGCUGCACAUUUUUCUCCUGAAGGAAUGUGGAUACAAGUUUGUAUUAGCAGGACGGUUUGCACAGGACUGCCUGGAGAACUUAUUCUCUGUUAUAAGAAUGCUGAAACCAGUCCCGAGUCCAUAUGACGUGAAAAAUGCCAUAAAGAUUCUUUCCGUGAGCCAGUUCUUGAAAGUGCCAAAAUCCACCAGUUAUGACAUUGAUGACAGUGAGUACCUCGUAGACAUUUUUUCUGCGGAAAUUAGGCACGUACAGCAAGAAGUCCCAGUUGACGUAAAUGAUUUUGAUUUUGAAGAUCUUGAGCCUCUUUCUCAUAUUGAAAGCAACAUUGUGGCCCAUCUAGCAGGGUUUCUGGUGAGGCCACUGCUGUCAUCUGUAACUUCUUGUGCUGUGUGCACAAAUGCGCUUACUGCAGAAGAAGUAGGAGAGGAACAUGCUCUUGUACAAAUGAAGGAAUAUGUGAGUGGUGGAAGGAACCUUACUUACGUUAGUCGAGGAGUACUGAGCCUCGUUGAAAGCUGGGAGAGUGCCUUCAAAAAGUUUUCUGAGGAAAGUGACAUAUGCCGAUUGAAAAGCCCCAUGAAAACUUUGAGGCGCAUCCUGGAAGAAUGUGUACCUCCUUUUUCGGUGCACUGCAGUGACCACCCCACUCUGAACAAAAGACUACUUGAGCGCUUUGUAACGCUGAGGCUACGCAUCUAUUUGCGUUGGCUGAUGCAGCCUGAUGAUUCAUGUGACGGAUAUGGCAGCAAGACAGUCGCUGGUGCUAACCUUGAAUAAAAUUUAUGUUGCAAAGUCUAUAUACAUUUUCGCAAGCUACCUGUUUUCUGUAAACCUCACUGAGUGCAUGAAACGACCGCUGUCAUUAAAAACACAUUUAAACCUCCGCAUU